rnacentral:rRNA from 1 species
CGGGUGGCGAACGGGUGAGUAAUACAUCGGAACGUGUCCGCUCGUGGGGGACAACCAGCCGAAAGGUUGGCUAAUACCGCAUGAGUUCUACGGAAGAAAGAGGGGGACCCGCAAGGGCCUCUCGCGAGCGGAGCGGCCGAUGACUGAUUAGCCGGUUGGUGAGGUAACGGCUCACCAAAGCAACGAUCAGUAGCUGGUCUGAGAGGACGACCAGCCACACUGGGACUGAGACACGGCCCAGACUCCUACGGAAGGCAGCAG